GCGACCGGCGCACGGGUGCGUAACGCGUAUGCACCUACCCAUAACAGGGGGAUAACACUGAGAAAUUGGUACUAAUACCCCAUAACCCGGCAUCGGGAAAACUCCGGUGGUUAUGGAUGGGCAUGCGUUGUAUUAGCUGGUUGGUGAGGUAACGGCUCACCAAGGCAACGAUACAUAGGGGGACUGAGAGGUUAACCCCCACAUUGGUACUGAGACACGAACCAAACUUAUACGGGAGGCAGCAGUGAGGAAUAUUGGUCAAUGGACGCAAGUCUGAACCAGCCAUGCCGCGUGCAGGAAGACGGCUUAUGAGUUGUAAACUGCUUUUGUACGAGGGUAACGCUCUUACGUGUAAGAGCCUGAAAGUAUCGUACGAAUAAGGAUCGGCUAACUCCGUGCCAGCAGCCGCGGUAAUACGGAGGAUCCAAGCGUUAUCCGGAUUUAUUGGGUUUAAAGGGUGCGUAGGCGGUUUGAUAAGUUAGAGGUGAAAUACCGGUGCUUAACACCGGAACUGCCUCUAAUACUGUUGAACUAGAGAGUAGUUGCGGUAGGCGGAAUGUAUGGUGUAGCGGUGAAAUGCUUAGAGAUCAUACAGAACACCGAUUGCGAAGGCAGCUUACCAAACUAUAUCUGACGUUGAGGCACGAAAGCGUGAGGAGCAAACAGGAUUAGAUACCCUGGUAGUCCACGCAGUAAACGAUGAUAACUCGCUGUCGG
rnacentral:rRNA from 1 species